CAGCGCCACGAGUGGUGACCAUGAUUAUUGGGCCUAAAGCGUCCGUAGCCGGUUAGGUAAAUCUUUUGUGAAAUCGUUGUGCUCAACACAACGGCGUGCAGAAGAGACGGCCUGACUUGGAACCGGGAGGAGUCAGAGGUAUUCCAGGGGGAGCGGUAAAAUGUUAUAAUCCUUGGAGGACCAUCUGUGGCGAAGGCGUCUGACUAUAACGGUUUCGACGGUGAGGGACGAAAGCUAGGGGAGCAAUCCGGAUUAGAUACCCUGGUAGUC
rnacentral:rRNA from 1 species